CAAUUCACAACUUAUGUCCCAUUUGCCUGCAUCACCCAAAAGGCAAAACAAAUAAACAAAAAUAAGUCCUCAAAACCAACCAAACAUUUGCAAACAAAAAAGAUAGUGAAAAUUAGCACCAGUUUUGGUUUCAAAAUAGUACUCCAUGCAAUAACUUUUCACGUCAUACUGCAGUUCAGAUUUGAUCUUGUAUGUGUUUUUGGAAUUCUC